AAGUGGUUCACAGGUAGCUCAGAUGGUUAGAGC
rnacentral:sRNA from 1 species